rnacentral:rRNA from 1 species
AUUGAACGCUGGCGGCAGGCCUAACACAUGCAAGUCGAACGGUAACAGGAAGAAGCUUGCUUCUUUGCUGACGAGUGGCGGACGGGUGAGUAAUGUCUGGGAAACUGCCUGAUGGAGGGGGAUAACUACUGGAAACGGUAGCUAAUACCGCAUAACGUCGCAAGACCAAAGAGGGGGACCUUCGGGCCUCUUGCCAUCGGAUGUGCCCAGAUGGGAUUAGCUAGUAGGUGGGGUAACGGCUCACCUAGGCGACGAUCCCUAGCUGGUCUGAGAGGAUGACCAGCCACACUGGAGCUGAGACACGGUCCAGACUCCUACGGGAGGCAGCAGUGGGGAAUAUUGCACAAUGGGCGCAAGCCUGAUGCAGCCAUGCCGCGUGUAUGAAGAAGGCCUUCGGGUUGUAAAGUACUUUCAGCGGGGAGGAAGGGAGUAAAGUUAAUACCUUUACUCAUUGACGUUACCCGCAGAAGAAGCACCGGCUAACUCCGUG